rnacentral:rRNA from 1 species
GGCCGAGAAUAAUCUCGGGAAACUGAGGCUAAUGAACGAUAGAUCAAGAUUCCUGGAAUGGGUUUUGGUCUAAACGGCGCGCCAGCAUCUUGGCGUGUCCGCCCGAGGAUGGGACUGCGGCCGAUCAGGCUGUUGGUGGGGUAAAGGCCCACCAAACCAGUAACCGGUACGGGCUCUGAGAGGAGAAGCCCGGAGAUGGGUACUGAGACACGGACCCAGGCCCUAUGGGGCGCAGCAGGCGAGAAACCUUAGCAAUGUGCGAAAGCACGACUAGGUUAAUCCGAGUGGUUUCUGUUGAAGAAACCUUUUGUCAGUCGUAAAACCACAGACGAAUAAGGGGUGGGCAAGUCUGGUGUCAGCCGCCGCGGUAAUACCAGCACCUCGAGUGGUCAGGAGGUUUAUUGGGCCUAAAGCAUCCGUAGCCGGCUUUGCAAGUCUCCGGUUAAAUCCAGCUGCUCAACAGAUGGGCUGCCAGAGAUACUACAAAGCUAGGGAGCGGGAGAGGCAGACGGUAUUCGGUGGGUAGGGGUAAAAUCCUUUGAUCCAUCGAGGA